CCUACGGGGUGCAGCAGUGGGGGAUAUUGCACAAUGGGGGAAACCCUGAUGCAGCGACGCCGCGUGGGCGAAGAAGUAUUUCGGGAUGUAAAGCCCUAUCAGCAGGGAAGAAGAAAUGACGGUACCUGAGUAAGAAGCACCGGCUAAAUACGUGCCAGCAGCCGCGGUAAUACGGAGGGUGCAAGCGUUAUCCGGAUUUACUGGGUGUAAAGGGAGGGCAGGCGGGACGGCAAGCCUGAUGUGAAAGCCCCAGGCCCAACCGCGGGACUGCAUUGGGAACUACCGUGCUUGAGUGCCGGAGAGGUAGGCGGAAUUCCUAGUGUAGCGGUGAAAUGCGUAGAUAUAAGGAGGAACACCAGUGGCGAAGGCGGCCUACUGGACGGUGACUGACGCUGAGGCGCGAAAGCGUGGGUAGCAAACAGGAUUAGAUACCCCUGUAGUC
rnacentral:rRNA from 1 species